GACCUGAUAGCUCAGUUGGUAGAGCACCUCCCUUUUAAGGAGGUGGUCCUGGGUUCGAGCCCCAGUCAGGUCA
rnacentral:tRNA from 2 species